AUUGAACGCUGGCGGCAGGCUUAACACAUGCAAGUCGAGCGCGCGGCGGACGGGUGAGUAAUGCCUGGGAAUUGCCCAGUCGAGGGGGAUCACCGUUAGACACGACUGCUAAUACCGCAUCCGCUUGGGUUGCCCAGGUGGGAUUAGCUAGUUGGUGAGGUAAUGGCUCACCAAGGCGACGAUCCCUAGCUGGUCUGAGAGGAUGAUCAGCCACACUGGAACUGAGACACGGUCCAGACUCCUACGGGAGGCAGCAGUGGGGAAUAUUGCACAAUGGGGGAAACCCUGAUGCAGCCAUGCCGCGUGUGUGAAGAAGGCCUUCGGGUUGUAAAGCACUUUCAGCGAGGAGGCGUUUCUCGCAGAAGAAGCACCGGCUAACUCCGUGCCAGCAGCCGCGGUAAUAC
rnacentral:rRNA from 1 species